rnacentral:rRNA from 1 species
AUUGAACGCUGGCGGCGUGCCUAACACAUGCAAGUCGCACGCGAAAGGGGGCAACCCCAAGUAGAGUGGCGGACGGGUGAGUAACGCGUAGGAAUCUACCUAGUAGUGGGGGACAACCCGGCGAAAGCCGGGCUAAUACCGCAUACGACCUAAGGGUGAAAGCAGGGGAUCGCAAGACCUUGCGCUAUUAGAUGAGCCUGCGUCCGAUUAGCUAGUUGGUGAGGUAACGGCGCACCAAGGCGACGAUCGGUAACUGGUUUGAGAGAACGACCAGUCACAUUGGGACUGAGACACGGCCCAAACUCCUACGGGAGGCAGCAGUGGGGAAUAUUGGACAAUGGGGGCAGCCCUGAUCCAGCGACGCCGCGUGUGUGAAGAAGGCCUUCGGGUUGUAAAGCACUUUCGGCAGGGACAAACAAGAUGGAGCUAACAUCUCCGUUCCUGAUGGUACCUGAAGAAGAAGCACCGGCUAACUCUGUGCCAGCCGCCGCUGUAA